rnacentral:rRNA from 1 species
CAAUAGCGUAUAUUUAAGUUGUUGCAGUUAAAAAGCUCGUAGUUGGAUUUCGGAUGGGCUUGACCGGUCCGCCGUUUGGUGUGCACUGGUCGUGCCUAUCUUGCUGCCGGGGACGCGCUCCUGGCCUUAAUUGGCUGGGACGCGGAGUCGGCGAUGUUACUUUGAAAAAAUUAGAGUGUUCAAAGCAGGCCUAAGCUCUGAAUACAUUAGCAUGGAAUAACGCUAUAGGACUCUGGUCUUAUUGCGUUGGUCUUCGAGACCGGAGUAAUGAUUAAGAGGGACAGUUGGGGGCAUUCGUAUUUCAUUGUCAGAGGUGAAAUUCUUGGAUUUGUGAAAGACGAACUUCUGCGAAAGCAUUUGCCAAGGAUGUUUUCAUUAA